rnacentral:lncRNA from 1 species
CUUUUUUUUACUCCCAUGAGGCACCUCUCUCUUCUAAAUUGUGGUUGGCAAGUCCAUAAUUUUCAAGGCAGUCUGGCAAGUGACAAGGAGGAGAGAGGGGAGCAACAGGUGACAUGACUGCUUAAGCCUAAAGGUGACAGGCUGUGGAGAUGGAUGCUCUGAGGAGAUGGAUGCCCUGACCACAUUUCCCAUCUGUAACAGAAAGCUAGCCCUAUCAGAUCAGAAGCUCACUCUACGAUGAACGCCUUACCUUCAGGGAGUCCAUUCCCAACUGGGAAACCUCUUUCGAUAUCCCUGAAGAGGACCACGAUAAAGUCAGCGCAGCCAGGAGAGCCAGACCUUAAGUCUCUAGUCCAACAGAGCAGCUUUGAAGGUCAAUUGUGUCAGGAGAAUAAAGCUUCUCCCUCUAGCCUGCAAGUCUGAGGGAACAUAAUCAGCUUCCCGGUGGCAGCUAUAAGAAGGACCCCAGCCAAGACAUACAGUGAAAGGACAUUUAGUCAUGGAUCUGCUAACAGCUGGCCAUGUGACCUUGUGAAGGU